GCAGACUUCAGAUCCAAAUCAUCAUCAGCCAUUGACUAUUGACUGACUCAGCGUUCGUGUCAAAGAAGUCGUACCCGCCGGAAUCAUCACCGGAAAAGACUACGUUCAACGUUGUUGAAUUGAAUUUACAAAAAUUUUACCCUCCAUUUGAAUAGUAUUACAAACUGCAUCGACACAUUCGGCGAUAGAUGGCUCGCUUUGAUCGAUACUGUAGUCAUAGCCGGCGAUACGAGAUAAGGUCAUAAUAUAGGAACAGGCGAUUCGCAGUACCGAAAGCUUGGAAAGUUUCUGAUUAUUUGCAUAAGCUGGAACGCACUUACGUAGAGUUUCGAAUGCAGCGCUGAUGGUGUGUACUCUGGUACGUUCGCGUGCAUUGGCUUCUAUUCUUCUUUCGCGGGUCAUAUUUUUAUAAUUCCUUUGGGAACUAUUCGAUUGACUAGAUUUGCGUUUCUCUUCAGAACUAACGGUCGACGAUGAGCUGGUAAAUCUGCGAAGGGAAAAGUUGGUGUAAAUGAGACGUUAACAAUAUGCCCAGUGAAAGGCUCGAAUAUUAUCGAAAAGUUUGAAAAAUAUUACGAGUUGGAGAUUCUGAAACCAAAUUGGACGAAUUCUGCAUCAUCACCGCUCACUGCACUUCGAAAAAUUGGCUGGGCAGUGACUACGCACAAUCCAUCCAUACGCAUAAAACAAUUCCCAGCUCGUUGCGACUCUUCCGGCGGCGUUCGGUUUCGUUAUCACGAAGUAAUUUUGCGACGACGACUGUCGACUUUGUGCUGCCUCUGCGAGAUUGUAUAUUUUCGCAAUCAAACGUACCUUCUCUCGCAUCAUUCUUCGGUUACCGUAUCGUUGACGAAUACGAAUCAUACAUAUACUUAUCUGGUUAUCUACGCAUUCAUCGUAUACGACAGAGUUGGUCUAUUAAUAGUCUAAUGUACCUACUAUGGGAACAUACCGAUGAAAUUUUAUACGUAGACAUUGGCAGGUAUAAUUUCAGCAUACAGCUCGUGAACUUUUCAUUUUUUUACAAGACGAAUACCUGGUUUCUAGGUGGAAAAAACGUAUACUUACUGACUAAGCCUGUAUAACGUAAUUCAACAGCAAGCAUAUAGAAAAUAGAAUAAGAAGAAUGAGCCGAGCUGUCAAUGCGAAUUUACGUUAUUGCAUCUAGUAGAGAAUAUUCGGAGCGGAACGAAAUGCAAGUAAUGGAGAUGGCGAUGGACGAUGCAGUGAUUUUGAUAUUUCAUCGAUUAGCGGAAGAGCAAAUAAUGAGAUUUUUUUCCAUCGUCGAAAUUUUACGUCCACUAGUCGAAAAAAACGCUGUGCUGAUUGAAUUUCGCUGUUUGAAUUUUCGAGGAAUUAUCGGAGAAUUUUUGUAGCUGAGACGAUUUUAAGCAGAGGUCUUCGAUUUUCAGAGGAAUCGAUGAAGACCAACGAACUGAUGAUCUGCGCAUUCCAUAAAGAGUACCUUAUGCAAAUGUAUGUUGGAUGUGGAAUAUUGAGGAGUCCAUCGUCGUAAGACUCGUACUUGUGCAGUUAUGCGUUAUGAAGCUGAUUAAAAUGAAACAGGAUUGCGGAUAGGGGAUGUUGAAUAUGGACGAGUAGCAGGUUGAUGGUUCAAAUUAACAGAAAGUAAUUACUGGUAGGAUUUGUAGCCUGCUUUCGGUCUCCAGAUGUUUAGUGUAAUCUUCAACAGAACAUACCUCUACGUACUACACGUUCUUCGGAUGGAUGCGCGAAAUUUAGUUGGAUACUUUCGUGAUGGGGCUGAUAUUAUUCUGUGUGGACGAGAAUAAAAUAGAUGAAUAAUUAAUGAAACUAAUUUUAUAAUAUUUAAGUAGAUACGUGCCUAUUGUUUUUUUUUGCAACUUUUUGGUAAAUUGUAUUUUUUAAAUUUUGUUUAAAUUUUUUUUGAAUUUGUGUGUAUUUUUCAAAAAAAAAUUAUUCGUGAUUAAUUCUGAGUGUUUUCUUAAUACGUAUUUUACCAUUUUUAAAAAUGUUGUUGUUCUACUUGAUGUAUCAUUACGUGCAGUUUUCCUUUAAUUCUUUUUUAUUUCUUUGUUUAUUUUAUUAGCGAGUUCGUCGUUGUUAUUUAUGUAGGUGUCUAAAUUAUAUUUUACUUAUUACCUGAUAAAUAAUUAUUCAGAAUAUCCUAAUUUUUGUGUUUUUCAAAAUGUCUAAUCGAAUGUAUUUUUUUAAAUUAAUAAAAUAUCAAUCAA